rnacentral:rRNA from 1 species
UACAGAGGGUGCAAGCGUUGUUCGGAAUUAUUGGGCGUAAAGGGUGCGUAGGUGGCGCGCUAAGUCAGGUGUGAAAUUUCGGAGCUUAACUCCGAAACUGCAUUUGAUACUGGCGUGCUUGAGGACUGGAGAGGAGACUGGAAUUCAUGGUGUAGCAGUGAAAUGCGUAGAGAUCAUGAGGAAGACCAGUGGCGAAGGCGGGUCUCUGGACAGUUCCUGACACUGAGGCACGAAGGCCAGGGGAGCAAACGGG